UACAGAGGUCCCAAGCGUUGUUCGGAUUCACUGGGCGUAAAGGGUGCGUAGGCGGUCGGGUAAGUCUGAUGUGAAAUCUCACAGCUUAACUGUGAAACUGCAUUGGAUACUAUCCGGCUCGAGGAAUGGAGGGGAGACUGGAAUACUUGGUGUAGCAGUGAAAUGCGUAGAUAUCAAGUGGAACACCAGUGGCGAAGGCGGCGAUCUGGGAAGAUACUGACGCUGAGGUGCGAAAGCGUGGGGAGCAAACAGG
rnacentral:rRNA from 1 species